ensembl:lncRNA
CCCCCCCCCCCCCGCCCUUCCUGACUUUACAAUAACGGAGCACCCACGUUAGUUACCAGAGAAACACCAUGUUGUUAUAGUAACCCACGGUUUCGCACUGAAUCCCAUCCAUCCUUAAUGAAUCAGAUUUUUAAAAAUAGCUGACCAUAACAACUAAUACUUUUUUGACACCAUAUUCCUACAAACAAAAGAACAAUGGAUAAAUAAGAUUAAAAGAUGAAAGACAUCCUGCUCUAAACAUCCUGCAAACGUCUAAUCAUCUAAACAUCCUGCAAACGAUGCCUGAAAUCUUUUUAUCCAUUAGCUCAUUGAAGAGUGACGAUCACUCCUGGCAGAAGGCUGCUGGCUGCUGAAUCAGCGCUAAUUGACAUCGUGUCCCUGGGACCAAUUCGACACUGAAACAUCUGUCAGAGCUACUGUGGCAAUUUCAUGCCAGUUUGUUAUGGAAGCCACAAUGCUAAAAUAACGUGGGUGUGGAUCAUAGUGUAGCGAGAGGGAGGGAGGGAGUUUUGGGAGGCCAGAAAGCAUUUGCAUGCUUUCCGGGCACAUCUGGAAGAAAGUGUGUGUGUGUGCGCAUGUGUCCUCCAAAAUUAGUGAGGUUUCACAAGAUCCUAAAACACUCAGCCUUACAAACACCGCAAAUAACAUCCAAACAUUACAAUUAAAAAUCUAUUGAAAUAAUGGAGAUUAUUAUUUUUUUUUUAGUUUUUAUUUUAUUUUCCCCAACAACUUUCCAUAAAAUAAAUCUGGCUAAAUUUCUGGAACAUUCAGUUUCAUUACUGAAACGUGCUACUUGUACUUUAAUUCUUUAGACAUUCAGGAAAGUUUUACAGUGUUGAGUCGGAUUCUUCCUACUAAAGUUUACCAUUAAGCAUCAAAUAAAUCCAAACACUUUAGUCUGACCAACACCAAAAAUAAUUAUGGUUCAAAAUUAGCUGUAGGUUUCAGUAAUGAGAGAAAUAAUUUUUAUAUUUAUCUAAAUUAACGUUUUAUAGCAUUUACUAAAUGUGUUUAUUAUGUUUUGAUAAUAAAACAACCACCUUUACUAUUUCUGAUCCAACAAUUGUAAGCAGUGAUGCUCUAGAACAUGUCCGUAAAAAUAUCGGAAAAUGAUUAAGUCCUCAUCAUAAAACGGACCAUAAUUUCGUGAACCGAACCACAUUUUAAAAAGUCUGCUCUGAAUCAAAUCGCCAUUUCACGAGAAUUACGCGCGUAUGUGUUUGGAAUCCGAGUCUCGGAUGUUGUAAAUGACGAGAGAGAGUCAAUCUUUGUAUGGGCUCAUUCAAACUCGUGAAGCAUGGGAACAGAAGAGAGACAAAGUUGCUCGUUUAUCCCCCGGCUUCUUAUUCAACAUGAACGCUCGUUCGUCUGAAUAGCGGCCAUGUACGCAAAGUCAAAAGGUCGUGUGGCUGUUGCAGAGAAAUGUCAUCCAGCUACACAAAAAUGGCAACUAUUUAUGUUGCCCAGGGGCAGGCACAGAAAGACAUGUUACACAAUGCCUGAGCUGUUACACGUGUGUGUGUGUGUGUGUGUGUAACUAUUGGCCUGAUACAUAGGACAAUACCAAACUUAUAAACUGGCAACUUGGAGCAUAAAUCACUAAUAUUUAUGCGUUAACUUUACCGAUAGAAAUACAGUUUGAACAUGAAGACAAAAAUGUUUCUUAUGGCCGUCUACUACCAAUGUCACAAAACCCAUCUCUCCUGUAUCCCAGAUUCUUCACUCUCCUUUCAACCGGAUUAACCACUGUACAGUCGCAUUAGCCAUCAGGCAAUCACGCCGUACUCCUUACUGCCAUCUGAACAUGUGCGACCUCUGACACCGAGCUGGAUAAAGAGGCUCACCGCAAGCCAUCUGAUCCACAACCACAAACGAGCAAGUGAGCUGUGUGAAGCGUUAGUGAAAUAAAUCGAUAUAUAUGAGAGCGACCCAUUUCAAAUUCAAAACCGAAUUCAAUUCAAAUUCAAUUCAAAACCGCAUCCCAGGAAGGAGACAACACUGAUAUUGAAACGGUUUUUUAUUAUUUUAUCGUAGCGAUGUACUACUUUCCCGUGGAUGUGCGUCUUUCUCUCUCGCCAUCCACCCGACUCCAAGGGAAAAAUAUAUGCUGUUCAUUUUAGAAUACAUUUCAUUUAUCAAGACGCCGUCCUACAAAAGAGCAAGUGAAUCAUACCCUAUUGCUGAUCUCCUUUCACCAUUAGGGAUGUUGAUUGAAAACACAGAUCUUCCACAUGAACACAAAAUGCAACAUGUCUUUGAGCAGCCACUGCUAUGCUGUGAAUAGAGCAUGAGGGUUAAACAAACAGCCCGUGUGUACACACAAUUAGAGACGUACCUAUCUAAUACCCCAUGUUAGUUUUAAAAAAGGAGAAGAAGAAGAAAAAAAAGUCGUCGAUACUAGAUCGAAACCCUGAACUGGUUUCGGAUCUGAAUUUCCCAUUUCUGAUCUAAUCUACUGCCCGUGUGUGGCGUUGACGGACGGCAUUAAGUCUGCACAGGAACAUCGGACACAAAUCUUGCUCGUGCAUGCCGUCAUUACGUCUUUGAUCUUCUGCGUAAAUCCGGCCAAAUUCUUAGUUCGCGAGCAUGUGAUAUUUUAGAAUUUAUAAAAUUUUAGAUGCUACGACACUCGUGUAAAAGGUACCAAUUAGAGGAUUACGCAAAAAGCUAAAUAAAUCACAAGACGGCUAUGAAAACGGUAAUGACAAAUCAUAAACUAAACGUCCUAAUGGACAGAAAAUUGAAUCCUUUAUUACGUCAGUCUCACUUUAAACGACGUUUCUAUUUAUGAGACGCCAUUUGAUCGCAGGUCUAUCGUUAGAGGAUUGUCGCUGUAUAAUGGGACAUGUAGAACACGCUUCUGAGAACGUUUGAACGCGAUCAUCUUGUACAGUGAGACAAGUCAUAAUCUCUUCAAGACUGCUGAAAUGGCAGAGUGAAAAACCAGCUAAACGUGGUACGAGAAGCUUGCAGAGACUUGACGUGGUUACUGCAAGGAUGCCAGCACUGGAUCAGUAUUGGGUACCGGUAUUGGUGUCUAAUAGGACGUUCUAAUCUAAUAGGUAACAAAUUAAUGAGAUCACAAAACGCGUUCCGCGUUAAAAUAUAUGAAGCAGCAUGGAUGUGAAGUGCGCAUGCGCAGAAACAUCUGGACCGUUAAUAAUAACGGGGAAUGCCUCCAAAACCGCAUACUACCUUACUACAUAGUAUUCGAAAUACAACAUCACAGUAACCAAUAGUGACCUGCUAUUCUAUUCUCGCGCACUGUUUAGUACACUAGUACGCAACUUGGCACGUGACCAAUACAAUGUGCGCGUGAGUUUCUCUGUACUGCAUUAAUAAAGCACAGAAUGAACAGUUAAACACCGAGCUCCAGUAUACCACAUAACAGAGACUUGUUUAUGCACAAGGCUGUCUAACAGCACAAAAAAUGACCGAAAUUUACUGGAUAUUUCAGAUACUUCUAAUAAACAACAACCAAUAAAUAAACACCAACAAACCGGAAAAGAUUAAGCUAGCGUAGCUCUACGUUUGGACGAAAACAAGCCACAACAUGCUAAUACGGGUUACCGCAACACACUCACACACACACUCAAGAGAGCACACUUCCAACACACCGCGGUCUAGUAACGGUAAAUGUUGACAUUACAGGAAAUUCGGUGUCCUUUCCACCGUUCUCCGGUCACAGAGCCAGGACCAGCGACGCGGUUUAGAUUCACCGAGUCCCACUUAACAUCCUCGCACGAGCUGGUUGUGGGGCUGGAGUACGCGCGAUGUAGCGUAGUGACGCAGAUACUGCAGCCAAUCACAGCGCGCCAAUUCAACGUCAGACGCGCCGCGGGAAAAGAACGCGGAAGCGCGAAAUCCCCAAGCGUGCGCGCGUAUGCGUGCACGGUUAAACUACCGUGUUAGUUGAACCAUACAGAUCCCACGAGUUCUUGAACAGAAUGGAGGAUCAGCUUAAUACCAUACACAACAUGAGUUAAGGAAAAAGCGCUGAUGUCAAAUCUUCUCUCUCCUUCACCCCCCGUGAUUCCCAAAAUAUUAAGAACAGACAAUGCAUGCGCCAGCUGUUUCCCAACCCUGGUCCUGGAUUACUCCUUUUCCUGCACACUUUAGUGUUUUCUCUGCUCCCAACACACCUGAUUUAGACCAACAAGCUAAUAAACAGUCGUUCCUAAAGUCGAAGAGUGUGUGUGUGUGUGUGUGUGUGUGUGUGUGUGUCUUAAAGCGGAGAAAAGACUAGAAUGUGCACAGUACAGUACUCCAGGAACAGGGUUAAUGCUACAAGUCUUUGAGAGUUAUGCAUGUCAGGGUUUCCGGAUCUGCUUGCCAACAUCAACCAAUGCAAAAUCCAGCCCAACCCCAAAAAAACUCAACUCUAUACGCUGCUUUUGAAGUCUAAGAUCAUGACAAUCCUUGCCAAAUAUAUUGCAAUUUUUAAAUUUAAUGAAGCAGUAUUUUUUAAAAAAGAACCUGCUUCCCUAAAUGGCUCUUUCAUCACUGGACUUGUAUUAUUACUCAUAGUCAAACAAAUGUUUCAUUCAUGCUAAUCCUGAAAUACACUAGAAAGAAGAGAGAAAAAAACAUUCCUGGCAACACUAACCUCCAUUGCAAGGUUGCCUGUGGAGUGGUAGCAUGAAGUAAUUAUUUAUUUAUUAAUUAUAAUUUCUGAUUUGUAAUAUAAUGUUUCUAUAACAUUAUACUUAACAUGGAACACAUUUUCCUACAAAUGUUAGUAGCCUUGGUAGAGAGGCUUCCCCCCGCCUGCCUUUUUGUUUUUUGACGAAUCACCCUAUAUUACUACUGUUCCACCACUGGAAAUAAUUUAGAAUUGUCCUUGACAGUAUAGAGUCCAAAAACCCACUCAGGUUACAUGUUCAGUUUAGCGACAUGCCUGCCCCCACCUUUCUUUAAAUACAUCACUCAAGAGACACUGCAUGUGUGACACUCACUAACUUUAACCAUGCUUUGAGUCAUUUCCAAAUCACACACACUGAAACACAAUGCUAAACGCAAAUACAAAUAUAAAUCCAGGUUUGGAUGUUCUUUGAGGAUUAGUGGAUUUUAAAAUCUAAAAUAAAAAAUAAUAAUAAAUGCUUAACGAAAUGUGGAAACGUCUUUGGUGAAGUGAAACCUCCUGUUACUGCAGUAAUUCCUAAAUGCACAGCUCAGCUAUUUUAAGAGAAGUUAAAGUUGUAACAGACAACAAAUGGACGUUUGGCCAGAGGCGUCAUUACAGGCAAAGUUCUACGAUCAGUUUUUAAUCUACUGUGCCUUGUCAAAACAGAUUUGGAAGAUGUGGCUAAACAAUCCACAUGUACAGUAAUAACAGCCUAUGGAACACCACUGUUAUUGUAAGAGUGAGAGAGUAAAAGACAUGAUGCCUGCCCUCCUUCAUACAGUGACUGCUAUGAUCAGUGAUAGAAAGAAGGACCUUUCCUCUUCUUCUCUUACACACCUACAGAUUUUCUGUACUCAAUCCUUCUCAAUAAUUAGCUUUGUAACGUAUUACUGCAAUGAUUCCUAUUUCACAGAUGGAAACAAAUGAUAGCGCUAAUGUUUUGGCCAAAAGAUAUAUCUAAUUAACAGCUAAUAAUUAGUUAAUACUGAGGUCCAUAUCAUCAUCAUCAUCUGUAUCUGGAAAUAUCACUAGAUACACAAUUUCCCAGCAAGACCUCUCAUUAAUUCAUAAUACAGGGUGUUCCAAAAGUCUCCAUGCAGACAGGAAAUGAACACUUUAUCAGAAUAUCUUCCAGAAUUUUUUUGUACUUGGUUAUACAUGGCUUCUGCAGGUUUCAACAAGUCGAAGACCAUUAUGAAUGCAAUUUAAGACCCAUUUCAUGUGCUUACUGGCAAACAAAUUAUGACAGAUAUGAAAGAAAAUCGGAAACCCUGGUUAGCCCACACACCACGCCGUGACAGACUGGGUGUGCUCUGAUAAAUUCUUCCUGGCUACACGGUUUGCACGAGCGAUUAUCAAUACCAAUUUUUCCCGAAAACACAUUUAAAAGCGAGACUGAACUUUAGAACUUUAUCGAAGUAACAUUACAUAAUCAAAACAGUUUUUAAGACCUAUCUAAAUCAUAUUUAAGACAUUUUAAGGCCUAAAAUUUGUUUUAGAUUUUUUUAAGGACCAGUGGACAUCCUGAUAUAAAAAAUUUUUCACAGGGUAUCCUCUCCCCCCCCCAAGAAUGUAUUGAAAUCAUUUUCAUGGCUGGAUUGGGGUGGACUUUAACAGGAAACAUGGCAAGCACAUCACACAUUCACACACACACACACACACACACACACACACGACACGGUUGCCAAGCUUAACAAAUUCAAAAAGACUGGAAGUGUUGCGGACCAACCGAGAAGUGGACGUCCAUGAACAUUUACUGACGAAGGCACAACCAACGUGGUGCUGGCAAACAUAGUCCCCUAUGUAUGGAGACUUUUUGGUACACCCUGUAUAAGGCUGUUCAGCUCACCUUACACUUCUGCUGUGUUGAAAUCAUUUUUAAAUACAAGAUGACAGUAUGCUUUAAGACCGAUCUCUACAUUAAGGGUGUGUAGAUUAGAACACUCGGGGGUUUCAAAAACAUUCUUCCAAAACAGUCAGACAAUUAGCUAAUAUCAAAUUUUCUAACUUAAAAUUAGAAAACUAUUUUUGUUGCAAUUUAAUUAGAAACAAUUGAAAUCUUUAGCAUUACACAAUGUUCCUAAAUACAGGGGCAAUCAACUAACAGUUCAAUAUUUUAACACAGGAAUAUUUUACAUUUACGAUCAAAGAUACACAUUUAUUUUGUUCGCUACAUUGAUUGGGUAUGAAUGCAUACUUUGGACCAAUCACUGGGAAGUGUACUGCUGGUAGGAACUAAACAACUCAACAAAAGCCUCAUAUUCACUGCACCUCAAGCCACUGACUCAUCAUCAUCAUCAUCCCAGAACACAAAGAAAAGAGGAAAAAAAACUCUGCUUGUUCAUCAGCAGUAUGACUAAAAGCAGACAUCAGCUGAUCUCUGUUCUGCACACUAUUUUAGUUUUCAUUUAUUUUGAAAUGGCUUGCUUUAUGGUUACUGGCCUGUAGGAGGCUUCAUAGGGACAUCUCAGCCAGUUAGGACCUUCACCUCAGCCAUGAUUACAUGUCUGUGUAAAACAUCAUGUCACUGAUAUGAGCAGUAUGUGCAUGAACACGCAUGUGACACGUGUCAGUGGAUUGACUCACUUCAUUUUUAAAGAAGCAUGAAUCUAAUAUACUCGAUUAAGCUUGGCAAAAUGAUGAGGUUUAGAAGUAUGGGUAAGUAUGGCAGAGACGUUUCCACAACAACUCUGAGACAUCUGGCGAAAGCAACUUCAAAGUCUAAAGGUCAUUCUUGUAGCCAUACGGCGACACAUUAACGGUACGUGCUUAAUAAGAUAUGAUGAGACAGCAUGUGUUGAGUGCUUGUUCAGGCCAGUCAGUGCUUAUCUCAACACAGGGUCAGCACUUUCAUUACAUCAUAAGACACACAGCACGUCCCAGUAAACACAUCAGCACUUUCAUUAGAUCAUAAGUCACACAACUCCUUCAUAAUUAAAAAAAAAAAAAAAAAAAAAAGGUCUCAUCAUUGGCACUAUUUGCAUAGUACAUGCGUGGCGAUUAAAUACACCUGUGAUGUCAUGAGAGCAAUACAAUGUCGCAUGAUUUGAGGAAUUGCAACGUAAAAUCUGCUGUAUGGUUAAUUAACAUUUUUACAGGACUAAUUUUUAUAUCGAAAAUAACAUUCAGAAAUAUAGUCAUUAAAGCGUUUCAGAAAUUACAUUUCUGAAAUUCAAUUCUUAUUUUCAGUGCUAAUGCAAUUCAUUCACAGAACCUUACACUUACAUUGUGAUUAUAUACUACUUCAAACCACCAAUGUCAUUAUAAAUUAUUUCUUUUUAUACUAAAAUGUUAUUAAGGGCAUGUAUUUAGAUGGAGAUGCGGAGGAAUCUCAACACUUAAGGUUUUUCUUUAGCAUCAAGGAGCUUGUAAGUACAAAUACAAACAAGUACAGCUAUAGAUUCAAUUUACAGCCCUUGAUCGAGCAAUGCUAUAAACCCUAAACUCUCAGAUAUGUGGUAUGCUUAGAUUGGAUUCUACCGCACUUGUUAGCUACCUUGGAUAAGUUCCACAUGGUUCAACGUUCACCACUUUCAACGAGCUUUUGGAGAGCUAAAUUAACUCAUUUGAGAGGAAAAAGUGUCUGAAUUGUGACUAGCAGUCAUAUAUUAUACUAAUGCCUGCUUAUAUUUACAAGACGUUUAGAUCUUGAUAUUACUGGUAUCAGUAACACAUGAUUAAUACAUUUACACUUACACCAAUAUCCAUCCAUCCAUCCAUCCAUCCAUCCAUCCAUCCUCUACCGCUUACUCCUUUUCAGGGUCACUUACACCAAUAUUUAAAAUGGAAUUAUAUAGUCUACAGUCAUAUAAGCGCUACAGAACUAAGUUUCCACCCAAUCACGAAAGAAAGAAUGAGGGGGGACAAAACAAAAACAAACAAACAAAAAAAUACAUCCUGGAUAGUUCUAAGAAGAACAGACAGAGUCAUUCAAACUCUGAAUGAUAAAAUCUUACAAUCUGACUAGCAAGAACAUACCCUCAAGCAACAAUGGCCAUCAAUCAAUAUAACAUCUCGCACAAGCAAGGAGAAGAUAUGUAGGAAAUUCUAUACCUACAGUACACACACACACACACACACACACACUCUACACUGUAGCUUCAGGAUACAAAUGCCUGGCCCACAGGUAGUGUCUUCGAUGAAGUGUUUAAGAUAGUGUAAAGAGUAUCAACAUUUAAAUAAAAUUAAAAAAACGCAUCUACAAGACUUAAAGGAUCCAUGGUUGUAUAGUUAAGGGCACAUUUACAUUGUUUGUACCUCAGGGAACAACAAUGUACCAGCACAGUUCCAUUUUACCGCCGAGACUGUUUAGUUUGCAUCACCACUCACUUUAUCCCCGAUCAGAUAUGGAUCCUAUCCCGUGAACUUUAGGUGCAAAGUGGGAAUACACCCACCAUACACCCACAUUUGCUCCACCUGCUUGAGUGAUUCAGGAGGAAACCAGAGACCCUACGUGGACAGGAGGAAAACAUGUAAAACUCAGCACAGACAUUUAACCAGAGGUAAGGAUUGAACCGGAGAACCUGGAGCUGUGAGGUGGCUGUGAGAUAGUAUUUGCUCAUGAAGAGAUUUAGAAAAAUACACUCACUGGUCAAUUUAAUAGGUAUACCUGUACAGGCCAAGAACAAGAAUCUGAGGCUGCCAUGGGCACAGACUCACCGAAACUAGACAUUUGGAUAUUGGAAAAAGUCCAGGUGAUUUUUUUUUCUCCCUCUAAUUUUCAACUGUCCAGUGAUAUGAGUCUGUGCCCAUGAUAGCCUUAGAUUCUUGUUCUUGGCUGACAGGACUGGAACCCAAUGCGGUCUUCUGCUGUUGUAGCCCAUACACCUCAAGGUUCAAUGUUUUGUGCAUGCUGAGAUGCUUUUCUGCUCACUAUGGUUGUAAAGAGUGAUUGAGUUACUAUACACUUCCUGGCAGUUCGAACCAAUCUGGCCAUUUUCUUCAGUAUAUCUCACUCUGGACAAGACAAAUCUGCCCCAGAGUAGUAGGACUACGUUAGAUUUCCAAGUAUCUCAGGAAUUAUAGAUCAUGCCUUUCAGAUCUUCCGUUAUGUCUUUCCGCCUGCUCUUUAAUUACUUCUAUUAACUUUUAGUUCUGUGCUUCGAAAGUGUGGUUCUCCUCAGAGCGUUCAGAUCGAUCUGGGGAGCCUAAAUGAACGCACACUAACACAUGCAUGCUUAAAUAGACAUCCGAGUUUAUUCAUGCAAACCAAGAGUAUUUAUACACAUUGAUAACAGCAGUGCGUGGACAGUUUCUACUGGUGCAGGGGCCAGACAGAUAGACAAAACACACAGCACACUAUGAAAGUAAGUCUUUUCAAGAGACAGAAAAUACAUGUGCCAGCUAUAAGAAAGGAUGGCAGGUGAUCUGCUUAUUUAAAGAAGUAAUUAAAUGUAUACAUUCAUCAUAGGUAUUUGAUAGCGUUUUAUAAUAUGACAGUACAUGAUAUUACAUGAAUUAUAGUCUGAAAGGAAAUUCUCUUACGAACUGCUUGGAACAAGUAUCCAUUAUAUCCAACUAACAAACUCAGACAUAUUUAAUAUGUGAGUGUAUCUGAUAUCAGAACAAAUCUACUAUAGUGCACAUCAGAAUCAUUAUAAUAAGAUUGAGAAGUAUGAAUAAAACACUGAAACUUCCAGACCUAAUUUCUGCACUUCCAGAAAUCAGAUACGAGGUGAUAACUUAUCAGUACAGCACACAACUCCAGCACUAACUGCUAUAUUAAACAAAUUAAUAAUGUGUGCUUGAAUAAAGCUGAUAUCUGAGGUUUUAUUUCCUGUAAUGGCCUCGAUAACUGCUAUUUUACUCUUGAUUGGUAACAGUGAUGAGGCUGGUAGUGACAAACCAUACAUAAGGCAACAAAAGUCAAUAAAUUCCUGCUUCCUGGAACCAAUGCAAAAACUUCACAAUGCCUGUUCAGUGUCAGAGAUAAUUUCCUAAAGCACAAGAUAAGAAAUUCUGGAAAGGUCUUCAAGAAUGUGGCAGAAAUUCUUAUCAUCCCUUAUCUAUGUGGGAUCAGUAAUCAACGGCUGGAAGAACCAUCAAUGGUUGAAAAACAUGGAUAUAGAUUUCAACAUGGAAGAAACAAUUAUUCCUGCCAAGACUGCAACACCUUUCUGGGAAAAAUCACACCCAUACCCACUCAGAAGACUUUUCAAGACAGAGAAGCCCACCUCUCUGCUAUUAAUACCCACUGAUAAGGUGCUAUCUCUCCCCUGAGUACCAUGUCUGUUUAUGGGCAAAAUCAGAAUCAAGCCACUGAGUACAGCUCAUCCUUGAAUGUCAGCUGGAUCAAUCAGAGCUUCCUUAUCACUACUGUGCCCAUGGUUUUGUUGAGACACACACUGUUCACACCCCAUACCCCCACUCCAUUUCAGUGGGCCUUCGGAAGGAAGUCAAAAGUGCAGACUAAGCACCAAGACCAACUAAAGUCUAGAGGUCUAGAGUAUAGUGGAACUCGACACAGUUGAGGAACAGAACAGUCAGGACAGUGUUCUGGAACAAUGACGAACAUGGACUAUGAACCACCUUCAACCUUUGAGCAACAUGUUAUCAUUUGCAGGCCUGAUAACGAAGCAUUAAAUGCACUGAUGCUUCUUUCCUGUGACCUUUCAUCCUUAGAACAAUCUAGAGACACACUUAUUAUCUGACACUUUCCAUGUAAUGUAAGGACAAAGUCAGAGUCAUUGUUCCUUUUAAAGGAAUUUGUAUUUUACUUAGCAUAUGAGCUUCAUAAGUGGCUAUACAAUUAUACACAACAAUGUAGAGGAGAUUAAUACGAAUAGAAAUGUAUUCCAUUAACUCUUACGUCUAGUACUUCACAGAAAGCAAGAAAAAAAAAAACCUCACUGUCCACUUUAAUAGGAACACCUGUAAACCUGCUCAUUUAUGCAGUUAUCCACUCAGCCAAUUAUGUAGCAACAGCACAAUGCAUAACAUCGUGCAGGUACAGGUAAAAAGCUACAGUUAAAGUUCAAAUCAAAAUCAGAAUGGGGAAAAAUGUCUGUGACUUUAACCGUGGCAUGGUUGUUGGUGUUGGUGUUUAUACAUAUAUUUGAGAAACUCCUGACCUCCUGGGAUUUUUAAAUGAAAUGUCACUUCUAUGCUGGGCACAUGGUGGCUUAGUGGUUAGCCUGUUCGUCUCACACCUCCAGGGUUGGGGGUUCAAUUCCCACCGCGGCCCUGUGUGUGCACGUUCUCCCCAUGCUGCUGCGGGGUUUCUUCCAGUUUCCUCCCCCAGUCCAAAGACAUGUAUGGUAGGCAGUCUGGCAUGUCCAAAAUGUCCGUAGUGUGUGAAAGGAAGGCGCACCCUGGGCAAUGUUCAGAAUCAUAUUGCUGAGCGGCUAAUUCUUCCACCACGAUGGUUCCACUAUGAAGAGGAACCUCGACACGAAAAGAAGAAGACGACUUCUUGCCCCCCCCCCCCAUUUAAUUUUAAUAUUGAGACUUUUUUUUUAACGUGUGAAAAUAAAUAGUGCUACUUUUUUACUCCAUUAAGCAAGUCAUUUGGGUAAAACAUUUAGGACAGGUGUGACAGCUGACAAUAUUUUGUCAACAAUAAGAAUAUCGGGCAUGUUGAACAUUGCGAUAUAUUUCGGAAAAGAUUAUAUCAACAUUCAUAGAGAGUAGAAAAAUAACUUCAUGGAGAUCAAAUGGGACUGCUCGAGCAAGAUCACAUUCUGUCUGCAGGACAUUUCAGUUGGAGUACUUCGAUCAUCAUUGCAGCCUAAAUUGGCAAACAUUCUCCUAAGUUUUUCCUACAGAUAUCCUGUAGUGAGUCAUUCCUACUGAUCUUAUUUUUCAAAGGUAAGUAAAGCUUCAGUAGUCAACAUCAGACAGGAAGUGAAAGCCAGAAACAAAGCGGGAUCAUUUCCUCUUUCCAGAUCACUGCCAGCACUUCUGACACAUCAGCAAGUGAUCAUCUGACUUCAGAUACUCAACUAAUUAUAAAAACGUACAGUAAGCAGAGCCAUGCACGCCAGAUGGACACCAUGAACAUACGUUUUCAGAGUAAACAUGAUCAACCGAAUCCAUGGUAAAAUGUAGAGAAAGGUCAGAAAAGGGAACUAUGCAAGUACCAAGGGGUUUCCUGUUCCAUAAUAAGCAUUCAAAGACAGUCUGUUUCCACAAAACAAAGAUCUAAACACCGAAAUGAAAAAAUGUUUGAUGUUUCUUGGAAAAGUGAAACUUACCAGAGCAGAAGAGAUGACAAUGUACACACCAUGGUUCAACAUUUGAAGGCCAGAGUCCCAGUGGAUUGGGGAAAAUGGGACAAGGAUACAACAAAUUCAGUACAUACAACAGAGAGAGAGAAGAGAGAGAGAGAGAGAGAGAGAGAGAGAGAGAGAGAGAGAGAGAGAGAGAGAGAGAUUUAGGAUCCCCAAAUCUGUACUGCAUACACUGUAUAUGAACUCAGCACACACUUUAUACAGAGCCAGCUGGAAUUGACUAUUUCUGCACACUAGAUUAAAAUGAUAUUAAAGCUAACUGAUAUAAACAAAUCGAAUUAGUGUUAUAAUAAGCGCUGAAACUGUGUACACACCCAGAACAUCAUCUCCGUUUAAGAAAACACAGCGAGCACGCGCGGACUAUGUUCAAAACUACCCACCUUCACACACUUGACUCUGGACGUUUAAAAAAAAAAAAAAAAAAAGUUACAAACAAUACACAACCUGGCUAAAAUCCCGCCGUUGAAAGCAGUUAGAGACCCCACUCACGUCACCAGCGACAAUUAACAGGCGUUAAACCCGGCACGGAGCCACUUCUAGCACUUCUGGCACGGCGCACUUUCGAGUGGAAAGCCGCAAAAAACACAACGCUCACCUGAGAGGAAUCCGCUUUGAUCCACUCGGAUCUUCUGAGGGAGGUGUCCUGAGAUCACAAAGCCACGCCCCGUCUGCGCUAUUGGCUGGAGAUGCUGUAUGUCAGCGUAGUAACGUAUUAACCCCGCCCAUCACCACCUACCAUAAGACUGAUGCC